CAGCCGCCGCGGGAAUACAGAGGGUGCGAGCGUUAAUCGGAUUUACUGGGCGUAAAGCGUGCGUAGGCGGCUUCUUAAGUCGGAUGUGAAAUCCCUGAGCUUAACUUAGGAAUUGCAUUCGAUACUGGGAAGCUAGAGUAUGGGAGAGGAUGGUAGAAUUCCAGGUGUAGCGGUGAAAUGCGUAGAGAUCUGGAGGAAUACCGAUGGCGAAGGCAGCCAUCUGGCCUAAUACUGACGCUGAGGUACGAAAGCAUGGGGAGCAAACAGGAUUAGAUACCCGCGUAGUCCCUGUCUCUUAUAU
rnacentral:rRNA from 1 species